GCCUGGUUGGCUCAGUCGAUCGAGCAUCUCACUUCAGCUCAGGUCACGAUCUCACAGUUCAUGGGUUCAAGCCCCAUGUCAGGCU
rnacentral:tRNA from 1 species